rnacentral:rRNA from 1 species
CCUACGGGAGGCUGCAGUAGGGAAUCUUUCACAAUGGGCGAAAGCCUGAUGGAGCAACGCCGCGUGCAGGAUGACGGCCUUCGGGUUGUAAACUGCUUUUAUAAGUGAGAAAAAGGAUGGUAACUUAUGAAUAAGGAUCGGCUAACUACGUGCCAGCAGCCGCGGUCAAACGUAGGAUCAGAGCCGUAUCCGGAGUGACUGGGUGUAAAGAGUUGCGUAGGUGGCAUAAUAAGUAGCUAGGGAAAUCUGGUGGCUCAACCAUUCAGACUGUUAGCUAAACUGUUAAGCUCGAGACCGUUAGGGGUAACUGGAAUUUCUAGUGUAGGAGUGAAAUCCGUAGAUAUUAGGAAGAACACCAAUGGCGUAGGCAGCUUACUGGGACGGUUCUGACACUAAGGCACGAAAGCGUAGGGAGCAAACAGGAUUAGAUACCCCAGUAGUC